rnacentral:lncRNA from 1 species
AUUUCGACUUAUGAGCUCGAAUGUAUGAGCUUGAAUGUCCCUUUGGUAUCCAUCGCCUUUCUUUUUAAAUAUGCAGCUCAGCGUUAUAUUAUAAAAAAACAAACAAAUAUAAGCUCAAUUACUUAAGAAAAUCACAAAACACCUUGACAUCAGUUGGAUUGUGGAAGGACACCAUUACAUGCAGGUAAGUAUACUAUAAAUUAGGCCGUUAGUUUUCAAGUUUGAAUUGUUUUACAUUGUCAUUUUGGGGCCUUUUAUAGCUGACUAUGCGGUAUUGGCUUUGCUCAUUGUUGAAGGCCGUACGGUGACCUAUAGUUGUUAAUUUCUGUGUCAUUUUGGUCUCUUGUGGAGAGUUGUCUCAAUGGUAAUCAUACCACAUCUUCUUUUUUGUAUACACGUCCAGUUAACGGAUGGAUGGGCUCAUAAAUAAAAAAGUUAAUUCAAACAUAACAAAACCACAACAAGAAAAACAGAUACAAUU